rnacentral:rRNA from 1 species
GGGCCCGCACAAGCGGUGGAGUAUGUGGUUUAAUUCGAUGCAACGCGAAGAACCUUACCAGGGUUUGACAUCCUGCGAAUCUCUUGGAAACAGGAGAGUGCCUUCGGGAACGCAGUGACAGGUGGUGCAUGGCUGUCGUCAGCUCGUGUCGUGAGAUGUUGGGUUAAGUCCCGCAACGAGCGCAACCCACGUCUUUAGUUGCCAGCAUUUAGUUGGGCACUCUAGAGAGACUGCCGGUGAUAAACCGGAGGAAGGUGUGGAUGACGUCAAGUCAUCAUGCCCCUUACAUCCUGGGCUACACACGUACUACAAUGGCCGGUACAGAGGGCUGCGAGACCGCGAGGUUGAGCGAAUCCCAUAAAGCCGGUCUCAGUUCGGAUUGGAGUCUGCAACUCGACUCCAUGAAGUUGGAGUCGCUAGUAAUCCCAGAUC